UACGGAGGGUGCAAGCGUUAUCCGGAUUUACUGGGUUUAAAGGGUGCGUAGGCGGAUCGUUAAGUCAGGGGUGAAAUCCUGGGGCUCAACCCCAGAACUGCCUUUGAUACUGGCGAUCUCGAGUCCGGAAGAGGUGAGUGGAACUCCUAGUGUAGAGGUGGAAUUCGUAGAUAUUAGGAAGAACACCAGUGGCGAAGGCGGCUCACUGGUCCGGUACUGACGCUGAGGUGCGAAAGCGUGGGGAGCAAACAGG
rnacentral:rRNA from 1 species